rnacentral:rRNA from 1 species
AGCAGCCGCGGUAAUUCCAGCUCCAAUAGCGUAUAUUAAAGUUGUUGCAGUUAAAAAGCUCGUAGUUGAACUUCGGGGUUUACCCAUUGGUCAGGCUUAAUUGUCUGCACUGGUGAGAUGAAUCUCUACCUUCUGAGGAACUUUCAUGCCAUUUAUUUGGUGUGAUUGGAAAUCAGGACUGUUACUUUGAAAAAUUAGAGUGUUUAAAGCAGGCUAACGUCUGAAUACAUUAGCAUGGAAUAAUGAAAUAGGACGUUUGAUUCUAUUUUGUUGGUUUCUAGGAUCGACGUAAUGAUUAAUAGGGAUAGUUGGGGGCAUUAGUAUUCAAUUGUCAGAGGUGAAAUUCUUGGAUUUAUUGAAGACUAACUACUGCGAAAGCAUUUGCCAAGGAUGUUUUCAUUAAUCAAGAACGAAAGUUAGGGGAUCGAAGACGAUCAGAUACCGUCGUAGUCUUAACCAUAAACUAUGCCGACUAGGGAUCGGAUGAUGUUAAUUUUUAAUGACUCAUUC